AACGAUUUGUUUAAACUUUUACCACUAUUCAUUAAGCUCUCUCUGUUAUAACAUUAUGAUCUGUGUUUGCCACUUAUUGAAUUAUUUAAGCUAAGCUGGUAGGCAAUUAAAAUUAAUUUAAGUCAAAAAGUAUCUAACACAUCUAGGCUAAAGAAAAAAAAUACUUAGUUGAAAUGUAUUUGUCCUUCCAAUAUUAGAUUUACCUAAACAUUUUCCUUUUAACAUCAACUGUUCAUGAUCCAGGACUGUCUGUCCAUGUAUGUCCUGUAAAUUAGCAGGCUUAAGUCUACUGAUUAAUUCAACAGAGUUCAGAAUCCCUGGGGAUGUCAAUGUCACUGCUUGGCAAUACCAUAUGUAUUGCCUAUUUUUUCCAGUGACUUUUCUUUCUAAGUUCUCUUAAAGAGGUUUGCGAAAGUAAGAAGUUAAGCUAAAAUAUAUCCAAUGUUUGGUAGUGUAUCAUAUUGCAGCAUUAAACCAACAACCCUUUAUGACUUAUACACAGCUAAUGCAUGGUUUGAGAGUGGAUUUUGCAUUUUUCAUGUGCAGUAAAUUAUUUAAAAUGUUUUUGGUCACCUUUUUGUGCCAUUAAACUUGUACAGAAAAUGCUCUUAUGGCCAUUUUCAAAGGGAGAAAGUUUAAAAUGGAAACAGCCCACCCUUUCUGCCCUAUAGCUGUAGUUAGAAUUGAGUACGUGUAGAAAAACGGCUGUAAUUGGUGGUUGUAGUGUUAGAGUUUGUUAGCUGGCUAGUGACUACCUUUGGAGAGUAAAUGCAUGGUCUUGUACAUCACAUUUCUUAAAUAACUCUUUUUAACCUCGGAAAAGAAUAUAUUAUUCCAUGUGGCCCUCUUCCCUCCCUCCACUCCCUGCUCCCAGAUAUCUUACCAUUAACUGUAAAUAACCGAUUUAGGGGCCAAGAAUUCCUGCCAAGUAAAGUCAGAAACGAGCAAAAAAACCAAGGGGCGUGUGUGAAGAGAAUUUUACAACAAUUUCUCAGAAGUCAUUGACCAUUUCUAAAGGAAAGGCACGGUUAUCAAAGCUUCAGCUGUCUUUGACCUAAAAAUCAGAGGCAAAUUGGGAGGGUCUUUGGCUGCCAGAUUACAGUAUAGAAUUGAAUAAUUCUUAGAAUCAUACAACCCAAGGAUGUCCCUGAUCCCUGCACUAGUUGUGAGGUAUUUGGAUGCAUCAAAGGUGUGUUGACCUAUAUUUAUUGGGGACAAAAGAAAAGCAAAUGUGCAACGAAUGCUCAGGGGUUUCAGCUAGGCCCCAGUCAGCAAAAGCAAGGAGGUGAGUUUAGAUAGAUGCAUUGUCUGUUUCCCAGGCAAUGCUUAGACUUUGAGUGAUACAAAGGCAGUGUUUCAAGAAGACACUCUCUUCUUUGGUUUGCUGUUCUCUCUUGGACUGGUAUGUUUGGCAAGGCCCAUGUAAGCUGGUUAGAGCAGGUCUUUUAUCUCCCCCACCAUAAUUUGAUGAGGGCUCUUUGGUUUGAGGACUUCAAGGCUGUCUAGAGAAGUUCCCCCAUGUGUGUGAGGUGUUGUGAACUGUGAACACUGUACAUCUUCAGUGUUCAAUACAGGGCAGCCAAAGAGCUGCUCUUGCAAUCUUUUUUGGCUCUCAAGCUCUGUUCUCCAUCGAAUUCUCAUUUCUGUGUACAUUUGCAAGAUGUGUGUAAUGUCAUUUUCCAAAAAUAAAAUUUGAUUUCAAUA
rnacentral:lncRNA from 1 species